UGAACGCUGGCGGCGCGCCUAACACAUGCAAGUCGAACGGCACCUGCCCUCGGGCAGAAGCGAGUGGCGAACGGCUGAGUAACACGUGGAGAACCUGCCCCCUCCCCCGGGAUAGCCGCCCGAAAGGACGGGUAAUACCGGAUACCCCGGGAUGCCGCAUGGCACCCCGGCUAAAGCCCCGACGGGAGGGGAUGGCUCCGCGGCCCAUCAGGUAGACGGCGGGGUGACGGCCCACCGUGCCGACAACGGGUAGCCGGGUUGAGAGACCGACCGGCCAGAUUGGGACUGAGACACGGCCCAGACUCCUACGGGAGGCAGCAGUGGGGAAUCUUGCGCAAUGGGGGGAACCCUGACGCAGCGACGCCGCGUGCGGGACGGAGGCCUUCGGGUCGUAAACCGCUUUCAGCAGGGAAGAGUCAAGACUGUACCUGCAGAAGAAGCCCCGGCUAACUACGUGCCAGCAGCCGCGGUAAUACGUAGGGGGCGAGCGUUAUCCGGAUUCAUUGGGCGUAAAGCGCGCGUAGGCGGCCCGGCAGGCCGGGGGUCGAAGCGGGGGGCUCAACCCCCCGAAGCCCCCGGAACCUCCGCGGCUUGGGUCCGGUAGGGGAGGGUGGAACACCCGGUGUAGCGGUGGAAUGCGCAGAUAUCGGGUGGAACACCGGUGGCGAAGGCGGCCCUCUGGGCCGAGACCGACGCUGAGGCGCGAAAGCUGGGGGAGCGAACAGGAUUAGAUACCCUGGUAGUCCCAGCCGUAAACGAUGGACGCUAGGUGUGGGGGGACGAUCCCCCCGUGCCGCAGCCAACGCAUUAAGCGUCCCGCCUGGGGAGUACGGCCGCAAGGCUAAAACUCAAAGGAAUUGACGGAAGGGCGAAUAGUGC
rnacentral:rRNA from 1 species